CUCUCUCCUUACCUCCACCUCUCUGUCAGGUGGGACUCCUUCUUUGGUCAUGUGACAGCUCAAUGAGCUGCAACGGGGUAAAGGUGGACUGCUUUGUGUGACUCUUACUGUAAUGUGACUACAAUCGUGCUGUGGGUCUGUGACGCUCAGCUCUGUUUAAUCCCAGCUCACUUGGAGGCCUGACCACUGUCGUUUCUCAUCAUGUCCAUCAAACGUACCAACUGGUCAGCUCUGUCCAGCCUGGCCCGGCAGUGGACGGUGGAGGAUGAGGAGGAGGUGCAGAGGGAGAGGAGGAGGAGGGUGAAGAGCUCAACCAGUACCGCCGAUCCAGAUGCUGACCUCAGCACCACAGGCAGAGACACAUCCAGCAGUGACAACGCCUCAGGGGCCAACAACACAAGGGAGGAGUCCCAGAGCCUCAGCAGUGAAGAACAAAUGCAGCAGGACUUCAUGGAGACACUCAAAGUUCGUGAUGAAAGGAGGAGGAUGAGGCACAUGGAGACGCUGAGACGACAGAAGGAGGUAGAGAGUGAUGGAGACCCUCGCAGAGGAGGAGGAAGAGUUGAAGACGAGGAGCAGGACAGUGUCUUCCAAACACAACCCACCAUGAAGACUUCUUCAUUCAGCUCCAACGUCCCCAGCAGCACGAGCAGGAUGAGCAACACCGACAAACACCAUGAAAACGGCGAAUCACUGAGUAAAGAUCCACAUCCCAAACAACCAUCCCAUUCAGAUCGCAAGUUUGUCAGCUCUGUCUCCAUCUCACUGGACAUGAGUCCCUCUGUCAGCGGACGCACUACUCCCGUGAGCCUUUGUUCGCCACAGGAGGACUGGCCCUCACCCUGCCACAACCCGUCAGCCUGGGGGCCCCAGAGCCCAGUUCACAACGGACACAUAGGAGAGACAACCACCAAUGGAGUCUCUUCUAAGGAAAGCUUUGAACCAACAGCCAAACCCGCCUUUGUCAGACACAGUUCAAGGACUGCAUCUUUUAGGCUGAUGAAGAAGAAAGAAGAGGAGAGUGCACCGCUGCAGAGGAGUUGCAGUGUGAGGAAUGCUUCAAAGAAGUUCGAAGACAGAACAGAACAAAAUGAAGACAAAGCAUCAUCUUUCCAGAGACACUCUCGACACAGGAUUUCAUCUCGAUCCAUACAAGAAAAGAUGGAGAAACUGGCUCAAGCAGCACAGAAAGCAGAGAUGUCCCGGUCUCCAGAUGUGGCCCACAGGACUCUGUUACUGCAGGAUGAGGUGAGCAGGAAGAGGGGCAUCUUUGAGAAGGAGUCCCCUCAGAGCCCCCCCAGCCCAGGACUCACAGCACAGGAACACAGGAGCUUCACAUCUGGAAUAUCACAACGGAUCAGCCGCUGGGUCAACAAAUCUGGUUCCUCACACAGUCCUACGAGUCUAAGACAUGUGGACAUCAACAGUAAGAGGAGCCUGUUUGAGAACAGAGAGGACAGCAGCUCCAAAAGCAGCAGUAGAAACAUGUUCAAAUAACAUCUACUCAUGCUACACAGCUUUUCCAUGGUAAUACAAAAAACAAUGAUGGAAGAUUUGUUUAUUUCUUACUUUUUAAUGUCAAAGCACAAGCAAAUGAAGACCCAAAGUACAAACAAAGCUCUGGAAUGGAGGACACUUCUGUCUUACUUUUUUAAUCUGUCUCAUUGUACCCUUAAACUGGAGGUGAAGGAAGUGACUUUAUCUGUCAAAUGUAAAUAAAACAAAAUGUCAUCUAUUUUCA
ensembl:lncRNA ladinin 1